UACGGAGGGUGCAAGCGUUAUCCGGAUUUACUGGGUUUAAAGGGUGCGUAGGUGGGUUGGUAAGUCAGUGGUGAAAUCUUCGAGCUUAACUCGGAAACUGCCAUUGAUACUAUCAAUCUUGAAUUAUCUGGAGGUAAGCGGAAUAUGUCAUGUAGCGGUGAAAUGCUUAGAUAUCAGGAGGAACGCCUGUGGUGUAGACGGCUCUCUGGACCAUUACUGACACUGAGGUACGAAAGCGUGGGUAGCAAACAGG
rnacentral:rRNA from 1 species